rnacentral:pre_miRNA from 1 species
CCGUCAGACCGUCAUUCCGAGCUUGCCGAGGAAUCUUGCUCGCGCCAUUCGGGUUUCGCGCCGUUAGGCGAGCGAGAUUCCUCGGCAAGCUCGGAAUGACGGUCUGACGACGUUCUA